UGCCCACAAAGCUGAGGGAAAGGGGAGCCCAUUCAAGUUAAGGAGACGCCAAUCAGGCGAAUGGGAUGGGGCUUGACAAGAUUCUCAGAACGUGGUUGAAGGGUCUGCAAGACCCUUGAGUCUUAUUGAUGAAAGAAUAAAAUCCAUGGGACCUUAACUGGAGGGCCCAAACGUCACUAUAUCCAUGAAAACCGAGCCUUCCACGGAUCUUGGAGAGAAGUGAUUCAGGUGAUAAUCGUGUGAAAUCAACGUCUGAAGGCCAGAAGUUCAAAAUCAAGGUGUCGGCAGGGCUGCGUUACCACUAGAGGCUCCAGAGGAGAAGUCAUUCUUCGCUUCUUCCAGCUUCUGGUGAAUGAUUUCCCUAACGGCUCUACUGUCCCCUGUGCAAAUCAUGGCUUUUCGUUUUUGUGCCACAUCUACCAAAUAUUUGGGGAUGGAGUGAGAGUCAAGUGGUGGCGGAGAGGAUGGGGGAAGAGCCUUUCUAAUAUCUCGGAAGAAGAAAAUAGUUUUUGCACAAAAUGCAUGUGCGUGAAAACAACCCUGUAGAUGGAGCAGAAUGGUGGAGGGUGAUGAAAUGGAGAAUAUUCCAGCCUGGGCAGGAGAACCACAGAUAGACCACGUAGUCAGGAGAAGAGUAAGCAGUGAUGCUGGUGGGGAUAUGAAUGAGGAAGCGGAAGGCAUAGAAACUGUCCACAGUUCCUAGGAAGAUUCCAGGUCAAAGUGCUUCCUGUUCUUUGGCCCAAGAGCCAUAUCCACUUACAAAUGGAAUCUUGAUUAAUUUUCCAUUUGUACUUGGGGCAUUUCCCUAAGCUCUUUGACUAUUCAUGCCCCACUGUUAGCGAAUGCCUCCAGGAGCCCUGAACUCAAAGAUCUUCUCCUAGGGAGGCCUGCCCUGACACCCACACCAGGAAGACGCCCUGCGAGCGACUCUGAUGGCACCAUCUAUCUCUUCUCCCUAACACUCUCCCCAUCUGGAUGCUGUAAAGAUGACAUGAGCUAUAGCUGUAAAGCAUGGAGAAGAGGGCCUGGCACAUGAUCAACACAGAAUAAAGGUGAGCAAUGUUUAUUCAUACCAG
rnacentral:lncRNA from 1 species